UGGGGAAUAUUGCACAAUGGGCGCAAGCCUGAUGCAGCCAUGCCGCGUGUAUGAAGAAGGCCUUCGGGUUGUAAAGUACUUUCAGCGGGGAGGAAGGUAGUAAAGUUAAUACCUUUGCUCAUUGACGUUACCCGCAGAAGAAGCACCGGCUAACUCCGUGCCAGCAGCCGCGGUCAUACGGAGGGUGCAAGCGUUAAUCGGAAUUACUGGGCGUAAAGCGCACGCAGGCGGUUUGUUAAGUCAGAUGUGAAAUCCCCGGGCUCAACCUGGGAACUGCAUCUGAUACUGGCAAGCUUGAGUCUCGUAGGGGGGGGUAGAAUUCCAGGUGUAGCGAUGAAAUGCGUAGAGAUCUGGAGGAAGUCCGGUGGCGAAGGCGGCCCCCUGGACGAAGACUGACGCUCAGGUGCGAAAGCGUGGGGAGCAAACAGG
rnacentral:rRNA from 1 species